UAUGGAAAUAAGACCUCUGAGGCUCAAAGCGCAGCGUUAUUUCAUCACUUCCCGUGUAUCGACACCCUUAACUUUACCUUAAAGUGACCUUGCAAAUAAUUUACUCUUGUUUACACUGCAGAUGGAGCGGAAGGUUCAAUGAGGAGACAUUUGUUUACCGGCUUCCUUCCGGAAAGCUCGUACAAAUGCAGCAUUGUAUCUUUGUUUGAAACGUGAGGAAAUGAUGACAGAAGCAUGGAUGCAGGGAUUUUGGUCCGAUUAAGACAUGAGAGCAUAACUAAGAUUCCAGUUCUUCCCAAAAGUGUCCGUGUCUGGGUUUUGUAUCUCAGGUAUUCUGAUUUCUUUGAGCCCUUCCUCUGCCUUUGAGGCACCUUGGCCACAGACGGGUUCAUGUCCACAAGAUGGGGAUAUUGACCAAAAUACAGGCUGAUUUUUAGUGGCCUGACUUGAUGGAAAAUGAUAUGCCUUCAGGUCCUCUUGGGAAGUUCUUCCCUACAUGUUUGAAAGUCACAAUUACAAAACCAUGUUCCUUUCGAUUGCCGUAAAAUACAUUUUUAACCUUAAGUCUCAACAAAGACAAAAAGCUUUUUUAAUAAAACAAUUAAUAAAAAAAAUGAAGAGAGAAUAAUGGGAAAUUUAAUUUUGUCAUGCAAGCUGUUCAUGAGUAUUUUCUGGCAAGCUUUAUGAUAUCCUUCAUCAAAAAAAAGAAAAAAAAGAAAAAUGCAUGCAUGCACACGCGAGUAAAUCAUCACAAUGGGUAUAUUUGUUAAUAUGACUGAAAAAGAUAAUAUUGAGACUUAUUAUGAAUUGUGACUUGUCACAACACAUAUUGUUGCUCUUAUGUUGUUUUGAUUUCUUCUAUUAACCUCAUUUGUACGUCUAAUCUGCUAAAUGAUUAAAUGUAAAUGCAAAUUAAUUUGAUAAAAUAAAAUGUUCAGACUAUCACUGGUGCGCAGGAAAAAAAAAAGAAUUAAUCAUUUAGUCUUGUUUUCCAGUAAAAUUGUCUAAUCAACAAAACUGAGAUGAACUUUUCUGUCUUCAAGGCAAACAAUUUUGGCAUUUUGUUUUAAUCAAGCACCAUAAAUUUGUAAAAAAAAAAAAAAAAAAUGUAGUACGAUAAAGUUAGAAAACAAAAAUUGUGU